rnacentral:sRNA from 1 species
AAUUGAUAUUUAUAUAAUAAAUCACCGAGGGUGAAGAAUACGUAAAUCUAAAUGACGAGAGCUUAUAGUAAUGAGAGCUUGUAAUGACGAGAGAACUAGCUGGAGCUUUCAUGUAUAUGGAACCUAUGUUAAAUCACAUCAUCAUAAAAUUAUAUUUGAAUUUACCAUAUUUUUAUCUAGAUGAAUACCCGCACGUAUGUGUUACUAUUUUACAAAUAUUUUAUAUAAUAUCUUUUCAUAUAAAGUAAUUUGAAUGCAUUGUUUUUGAAACGUAAAUAUGACUUGUAAUUUUUUUUUUAAAGUUCAGCUAUAUUAGUACAUAAGAAAAACCAAUGACAUGAGUCUAUAUAUGAAAGUUGGUCAUCUUUCUUCAUAUGAUUGACACAUCAUCACUUUACCAUUUUUCAUGUGUCUACUAACUAAUAAAUGUAAACUUUUAAAUUCUAAUUUAGAGUUUAAUAAUAUAUUUAUCAUUGGAUUUUACAUAUAAUUUUAUUUACCCAUUAAUUGUACUAAUACUAAAUUUAUUUUAUCAUUACAUGUUUUUUAAUAAAAUUAUUUUAUUGGUUUACUCAUAUUUUUCGUAAUCUUAACAUAAAGUAUGAGUGUAUAAUAGUCAUUGAUAUACAAAUCAUAUAUAUGAAAGGAGCUCAACUCUCUCCAUCCUUCCGCCACGUCAGCAUUUUAAGCUUUUCUAGAGAUGACACAUCAGCUUUCUAAUCUUCCAAUCAAAACAUUUCAUUAAUAUGAUUUAGCUUUUAUUUUUUAUACAUCAGCUUCUAAUUAUAAGUGUAGAAUAGAGUAAACAAAAUAGCUCAUGUCAGAUGGGCCAUGUGUGUUUUAGAAUCUAUUAGAAUGCAAUAUUAAUAGGUCGGGCCCAUUUCAGUUAUGGCUUAAUGUUUCUAAAUCCAACAACAUAGUCUCCCUUUCUAUACAUCAUAUGUAUUUAGAAAAACGUUUUAUACCUUUUAACUGCAAGAAUGGAUACCACAAUAGAAGCUACACAGAACUAAAUCAAUGAGCAAGCAGCUGUAACUGUCUUUUAAAUAGAUUCACAAAUUAUUUCACUAAAGAAUAUUCACACUCCCAGCUUAUGGGAUUACAAGCUUUCACUACUAUAAGCUCUAAAAAUAUUCAAACAGACAUUGCUUAUAUUGAAUGACAAUUUUCAUAUAUAUGAUU